CGAACUUCCGUUAAUUGAUCAGGACGUGCUUGCACAGAAUGAGAUUUUAACACGAAGUGAGUGGCGAACGGGUGAGUAACACGUGGGUAACCUGCCCAGAAGUAGGGGAUAACACCUGGAAACAGAUGCUAAUACCGUAUAAUAGAGAAAACCGCCUGGUUUUCUUUUGAAAGAUGGCUCUGCUAUCACUUCUGGAUGGACCCGCGGCGCAUUAGCUAGUUGGUGAGGUAACGGCUCACCAAGGCGAUGAUGCGUAGCCGACCUGAGAGGGUAAUCGGCCACAUUGGGACUGAGACACGGCCCAGACUCCUACGGGAGGCAGCAGUAGGGAAUCUUCCACAAUGGACGCAAGUCUGAUGGAGCAACGCCGCGUGAGUGAAGAAGGGUUUCGGCUCGUAAAGCUCUGUUGUUAAAGAAGAACGUGGGUGAGAGUAACUGUUCACCCAGUGACGGUAUUUAACCAGAAAGCCACGGCUAACUACGUGCCAGCAGCCGCGGUAAUACGUAGGUGGCAAGCGUUAUCCGGAUUUAUUGGGCGUAAAGCGAGCGCAGGCGGUCUUUUAAGUCUAAUGUGAAAGCCUUCGGCUCAACCGAAGAAGUGCAUUGGAAACUGGGAGACUUGAGUGCAGAAGAGGACAGUGGAACUCCAUGUGUAGCGGUGAAAUGCGUAGAUAUAUGGAAGAACACCAGUGGCGAAGGCGGCUGUCUGGUCUGUAACUGACGCUGAGGCUCGAAAGCAUGGGUAGCGAACAGGAUUAGAUACCCUGGUAGUCCAUGCCGUAAACGAUGAUUACUAAGUGUUGGAGGGUUUCCGCCCUUCAGUGCUGCAGCUAACGCAUUAAGUAAUCCGCCUGGGGAGUACGACCGCAAGGUUGAAACUCAAAAGAAUUGACGGGGGCCCGCACAAGCGGUGGAGCAUGUGGUUUAAUUCGAAGCUACGCGAAGAACCUUACCAGGUCUUGACAUCUUCUGCCAACCUAAGAGAUUAGGCGUUCCCUUCGGGGACAGAAUGACAGGUGGUGCAUGGUUGUCGUCAGCUCGUGUCGUGAGAUGUUGGGUUAAGUCCCGCAACGAGCGCAACCCUUAUUACUAGUUGCCAGCAUUAAGUUGGGCACUCUAGUGAGACUGCCGGUGACAAACCGGAGGAAGGUGGGGACGACGUCAAAUCAUCAUGCCCCUUAUGACCUGGGCUACACACGUGCUACAAUGGAUGGUACAACGAGUCGCGAAACCGCGAGGUUUAGCUAAUCUCUUAAAACCAUUCUCAGUUCGGACUGUAGGCUGCAACUCGCCUACACGAAGUCGGAAUCGCUAGUAAUCGCGGAUCAGCAUGCCGCGGUGAAUACGUUCCCGGGCCUUGUACACACCGCCCGUCACACCAUGAGAGUUUGUAACACCCAAAGCCGGUGGGGUAACCUUUUAGGA
rnacentral:rRNA from 1 species